GCGGCGUGCUUAACACAUGCAAGUCGAACGAUGAACCACCUUCGGGUGGGGAUUAGUGGCGAACGGGUGAGUAACACGUGGGCAAUCUGCCCUGCACUCUGGGACAAGCCCUGGAAACGGGGUCUAAUACCGGAUACUGAUCCUCGCGGGCAUCCGUGAGGUUCGAAAGCUCCGGCGGUGCAGGAUGAGCCCGCGGCCUAUCAGCUUGUUGGUGAGGUAAUGGCUCACCAAGGCGACGACGGGUAGCCGGCCUGAGAGGGCGACCGGCCACACUGGGACUGAGACACGGCCCAGACUCCUACGGGAGGCAGCAGUGGGGAAUAUUGCACAAUGGGCGAAAGCCUGAUGCAGCGACGCCGCGUGAGGGAUGACGGCCUUCGGGUUGUAAACCUCUUUCAGCAGGGAAGAAGCGAAAGUGACGGUACCUGCAGAAGAAGCGCCGGCUAACUACGUGCCAGCAGCCGCGGUAAUACGUAGGGCGCAAGCGUUGUCCG
rnacentral:rRNA from 13 species